rnacentral:rRNA from 1 species
GAGUUUGAUUCUGGCUCAGGAUGAACGCUGGCGGCGUGCCUAACACAUGCAAGUCGAACGAAGCAUAUAGAAGGAAGUUUUCGGAUGGAAUUUUAUAUGACUUAGUGGCGGACGGGUGAGUAACGCGUGGAUAAUCUGCCUUACACAGCGGGAUAACAAGUGGAAACAGUUGCUAAUACCGCAUAAGCACACAGUAUCGCAUGAUACAGGGUGAAAAGAUUUAUCGGUGUAAGAUGAGUCCGCGUCCCAUUAGCUAGUUGGUGAGGUAAAAGCUUACCAAGGCGACGAUGGGUAGCCGGCCUGAGAGGGUGAACGGCCACAUUGGGACUGAGACACGGCCCAGACUCCUACGGGAGGCAGCAGUGGGGGAUAUUGCACAAUGGGCGAAAGCCUGAUGCAGCGACGCCGCGUGAAGGAUGAAGUAUUUCGGUAUGUAAACUUCUAUCAGCAGGGAAGAAAAUGACGUAC